rnacentral:lncRNA from 13 species
UUUGAUUUUAGAUUAAUACUUAAAAUUCAAAGAGUUUAACAUUUAUUAUCAGCCCCCUCUGACCACUUUUCUUUCUUUCUUUUUUUUUUUUUGAAACCUCCAGGUAACCUGUGAUGGGAGCAAGCUCAUCCUCAGAAGCCUCAAGGCAGAGUGUUCCUCCUGAGUCUUUUCAGGACUAAAAUCAGCCAGUGAGAUAAUGGACUCCAGGAAGGAAGUAAACAAAUUAUAGAGGAACAACACAAUUCCUUAGAGCUGGUUGGCAGCCUGGAUUCUACACCCCACACUUGGUGUACUCUGGAGAUUUUGAUUGCAUGAAUAAAAGGAGAGAUUCUCCCCAAACAAAUGAUCUUUCUGGCUUUUAAGAAUAUUUGAGCUACUUGAGAGAAAAGCCGGGAAGGGAGAGGUGCCUUCAGUGGAAGAAAGGGAGGAAACUAGAAUGGAGAAAGAAAAUAAGAAUAGAGAAAGAAAACAUGAUGGGGAAACAGGCAGGGUAAG